rnacentral:lncRNA from 1 species
UGAGAUUUCGUGUAGGUUAUUAUUUUUUCUAUUUAGUGGAAGGUUACAUUAAGAAGUAGAAAAAAUAUGAAAAAAGAUGAAGAAGAAAAGAAGAAUAAGUAGAAGAAGGAAGAAGAAGAAGAAGAAGAAGAGGUGGAGGAGGAGGAGGAGGAGGAGAAGACAAAGAAGAGGAGGAGAAUAGGAGAAGAAAGAAGAGGAAAAAAGGAAAA